AACGAACGCUGGCGGCAGGCCUAAUACAUGCAAGUCGAGCGCGCCCUUCGGGGUGAGCGGCGGACGGGUGAGUAACGCGUGGGAAUAUGCCCUUCUCUAAGGAAUAGCCUCUGGAAACGGAGAGUAAUACCUUAUACGCCCUUUGGGGGAAAGAUUUAUCGGAGAAGGAUUAGCCCGCGUUAGAUUAGGUAGUUGGUGGGGUAAUGGCCUACCAAGCCUACGAUCUAUAGCUGGUUUGAGAGGAUGAUCAGCCACACUGGGACUGAGACACGGCCCAGACUCCUACGGGAGGCAGCAGUAGGGAAUCUUAGACAAUGGGGGCAACCCUGAUCUAGCCAUGCCGCGUGUGUGAUGAAGGCCCUAGGGUCGUAAAGCACUUUCGCCAGAGAUGAUAAUGACAGUAUCUGGUAAAGAAACCCCGGCUAACUCCG
rnacentral:rRNA from 1 species